rnacentral:sRNA from 1 species
UGCGCCCGCGGCGGACGCAGCACGGGAUAUAUAUGCUUUGCGGGCAGCAGCCCCGUGUACCGUCCUGUAACGUAUGCACAGCAUACUUCAAAGUUUUUU